CAAAUAAAGAUAAACUUCUAGCUUAUUAAAGCUGAUGGACAUAGACACAUACUUACACGAAUAAUACGGAACCAAUAACUUAUUUAUUUAUUCGGUCUAUCAAUCUCACCCACUGUUCUUUUUUCAUUUUUUUUUUUUCAUCAUUUCUAUUUUCGGCACCACAUUUUUUAUCUUCUAAAAUUUGAGCCUUAUAUAAUAAGUCUUGGUUGUAAUAGAACAUUUUUUAAUAAGCCGUAUAUUCUCUAUUCACAAUUCCACACUCCAGCCCAUCUGAUAGCUUCAUGAAGAACAGUGUUGUCUUUUCCCCAAAUUUCUCUUUCUCUUGGUGGAACCUGGAGAAACUUUCUGUUUGGCUACCAAGAAGUUGAAGAUAGGAAUUGAAGGAAAACUUUGCAUCUUAUAAAGAUUGAUGUUUUCUUAGCUGGGAAAUAGUUACAAUUUGUGGUUGAUCAAAUUCUGGAUGAUUCUUUGAGAGUCAACCUUAUUCUCAAGUCAACCCAUUAAAAAAAUGAGCAAGAAUUCCGUUCCUACACAGCAUGGCUUGCUGCCUUCAGCUUUUUGCUUGGAUUUCUGCUUACACUCCUCGGAUGGAAGUAUCAAAACCCAAGUGUCUCUGUGUUUGACACACAUCAUGCAAUCAUAUUGCUUGUGAUAUUAAAUGUAUGUACUUGCACUAUAUCACUGGCAAUGAUAAUAGUACUACCAACUUCCAACAAAACCCAUCUCUCUUUCUUCAAGAAUGUGUUUCUCUUCUCUGGAGUUUUUGCAUGUGACUUGGUUUUGUUGGUCCUUAUUCCUCCUCUCGGAUGGCUCAUCUUCAUUAUAUCUACAUCUGUUCUUGUAUGGUUGCUUUAUGGCUCACACAAUCAGAUUCUUCGAUGCUGUCGACAAACUCUCAAAACAAUUUGGCACUCCAUUUCUAAGGCAUUCCACAGUUUAUGUGAAUGGUUCCCACAGAGUUUUCAUUCAGUUUGGAGAGCACAUUCCCAAGCAUCUACUGGACCUUCGAUGCCGACUCCCAACAUAAAGGAGAAACAUGUGUUUGAUUCGACAAAUGAUGUCUAAUUGGAGAUUCGCCUUAAUUUUGUCUUUCUUGCGUGGAUAAUUAUAAUGAUGUCUAAUUGGAGAUUUGCCUUAAUUUCGUCUUUCUUGCGUGGAUAAUUAUAGAAUAUUUUAAGAGUAUAAUAACUUGGUAAUUCCUCCUCUCACAUAAUGUGGCUCUCACUAAUUAAAUUUAUAAUAUAGUGAGAUCCACCGUUCAUGUGAAAAGAGUACCACACCGUUAUUAUCUAAGAGUGUUGAAUAGUUUU